GACGAACGCUGGCGGCGUGCUUAACACAUGCAAGUCGAACGGAAAGGCCCUGCUUGCAGGGUACUCGAGUGGCGAACGGGUGAGUAACACGUGGGUGAUCUGCCCUGCACUUCGGGAUAAGCCUGGGAAACUGGGUCUAAUACCGGAUAGGAGCCAUUUUUAGUGUGAUGGUUGGAAAGUUUUUUCGGUGUAGGAUGAGCUCGCGGCCUAUCAGCUUGUUGGUGGGGUAAUGGCCUACCAAGGCGGCGACGGGUAGCCGGCCUGAGAGGGUGGACGGCCACAUUGGGACUGAGAUACGGCCCAGACUCCUACGGGAGGCAGCAGUGGGGAAUAUUGCACAAUGGGCGCAAGCCUGAUGCAGCGACGCCGCGUGGGGGACGACGGCCUUCGGGUUGUAAACUCCUUUCGCUAGGGACGAAGCUUUUUGUGACGGUACCUAGAUAAGAAGCACCGGCUAACUACGUG
rnacentral:rRNA from 1 species